UGUAGAGAAUCUGCCCUGUACUGGGGGACAACAGAGGGAAACUUCUGCUAAUACCCCAUAUGAGCGUACCUGCGAUGGUAUUCUUGAAAGUUCCGGCGGUACAGGAUGAGUCUGCAUCUGAUUAGCUAGUUGGUGGUGUAAUGGACUACCAAGGCGACGAUCAGUAGCUGGUUUGAGAGGAUGAUCAGCCACAAUGGGACUGAGACACGGCCCAGACUCCUACGGGAGGCAGCAG
rnacentral:rRNA from 1 species